UACGGGGGGGGCAAGCGUUGUUCGGAAUUACUGGGCGUAAAGGGCUCGUAGGCGGCCCUCUCAGUCGGAGGUGAAAUCCCUCGGCUUAACUGAGGAACUGCCUUCGAUACUGUUCGGCUUGAGUCCUGGAGAGGGUAGCGGAAUUCCCGGUGUAGCGGUGAAAUGCGUAGAGACCGGGAAGAACACCAGUGGCGAAGGCGGCUACCUGGACAGGUACUGACGCUGAAGCGCGAAAGCUAGGGGAGCAAACAGG
rnacentral:rRNA from 1 species